CAAAGGCUUGGUCCUGACUUUACUAUCAGCUGUAGCCAAAUUUACACAUGCAAGUAUCCGCACCCCUGUGAAAAUGCCCUACAGUUCUCUGCCCGAGAACAAGGAGCCGGCAUCAGGCACAAUCUCCCAGCCCAAGACGCCUUGCUUAGCCACACCCCCAAGGGAACCCAGCAGUGAUAAACAUUAAGCAAUAAGUGAAAACUUGACUUAGUUAAAGCUAAAAGGGCCGGUAAAACUCGUGCCAGCCACCGCGGUUAUACGAGAGGCCCAAGUUGAUACCCACCGGCGUAAAGGGUGGUUAAAAAUUUACAAACUAAAGCCGAACACUUUCUAAGCCGUUAUACGCACUUGGAAGCAUGAAGUCCAACCACGAAAGUGGCUUUAUAAUAUUUGAACCCACGAAAGCUAAGAAACAAACUGGGAUUAGAUACCCCACUAUGCUUAGCCUUAAACAUUAAUAGCACACCACACAAGCUAUUCGCCAGGGGACUACAAGCAUAAGCUUAAAACCCAAAGGACUUGGCGGUGCUUAAGAUCCACCUAGAGGAGCCUGUUCUAGAACCGAUACCCCCCGUUCAACCUCACCCUCUCUUGAUCUUUCCGCCUAUAUACCGCCGUCGUCAGCUUACCCUGUGAAGGAACUAUAAUAAGCAAAACUGGCACAGCCCAAAACGUCAGGUCGAGGUGCAGCGCAUGAGAGGGGAAGAAAUGGGCUACAUUGACUACUUUAGUGAACACGAAUGAUGCACUGAAACACGCAUCCGAAGGAGGAUUUAGCAGUAAGCAGAGAAUAGAGCGCUCCGCUGAAAUAGGCUCUAAAGCGCGCACACACCGCCCGUCAUUCUCCCCUGCCCAAUCUUUUGCAUAUAACUAAUAUAUUCUUACUCACUAAGGGGAGGCAAGUCGUAACAUGGUAAGUGUACCGGAAGGUGUACUUGGACAAAC
rnacentral:ncRNA from 1 species